UAGGCUUGCAUGGAUGCCAAUUAAUGUUUGUUGAGUGAAUGAGUAAAUAAUUUUGGUGCCGGAUGUCUUCCAUUUUCACCUCCAGAAACACUCUGCAUCCUUCCACACCCACACUGUGUCCAGGAGACAGACCCGUAUGGAAGGCAGCAGCGGACACCCUCCCCUGCAUGAAGGGCCUGGGAGAUAUCCAAGCAGCUACAGUCUGUGGGGCAUGGUGGGGACUCACACCUCAGUGGCAGUGGUGGAGUAAAAGGUUCCUGUUGUGCACUGUCUGGCCACAGGCUUCAUGUCCUGCACCAGCACCUGCCCCUUGCUUGUGUAAAAACUGUCACUGCAGAUUCAGGAAUAACCAGGAUUUCUCUGGCUGAUGUGAGUCCAGGGGGAUGAAGACACCCACGAGGGCACCGCGAUGGAAGCUUUGCUUGGCGUUUGGGGUGGGGGCAGUGUCAUUGUCAAGUUCAGAGACAGAUGCCCAGAAGUUCUCCACCAGAUGGUGAGAUGUCAGCAGUGUGCCAGGGAAGAUGAUGGCUGGGUCCAGGAGGUCAGCAGAGGCCGUGAGCCCUGGAGGAGGAGCUCAGCUAUCCAGAGGGCAACGCCAAGCAGGCAAGAAGCUCUGAAGACCCAGGUGGUUGGGCUGUCGUGGCUCAUUUUCACAGAGGCUGUGAGGCACAGUGGCUGGGAUGCUUUGGUGACCCCAGGGCACUGCAGACUGUCCUGAGGGCUGCUUUGGGGAGCACCUCCAGGUCCGGAGCUGCUGGCUGAAGGGAGAAUCCGCCGUUGCCUCUCACCUGGGACAACACGGAGAACAGCUUGGUCCUAACCCACAGAACCUGUGAGUGUUGCCUUAUAUGCAAAAGGGACUUUGCAGCUGAGACCGAGUUCGGGAUCUGGAGGUGGGGGAUGAUCCUGAGGGGCUGCAAGGAAUCACAGGGGUCCUCCGAAGAGAGAAGCUGAUGUGCAGACGGAAGCUGAGAGACUGGCAGACGCGAGGCUGCUGGCUUUGAAGACGGAGGAGAGGCUUCCAGUAGCGGGGACCCCCAGAGCUUCCAGAAAGAACUGGCCCCACUGCCGCCUUCAUCUUAGCCCAGUGAGACCCACUUCAGACUUCUGACCCCCAGAACUGUAAGAUAAUAAGUCAGUGCUGCUCUUAAGCCACUACACUGGUGGGGGAUUUUUACAGCCUCGGCAGGGCAUGAGCUGCUGUGUAAGAUACAGGAAAUAGCAGAGCGUUUCCCCACUCCUGAACAUCCCGCACCACUCAACACAGAAUAUGCCUGUGCCCAGAUGUGCGGGGGGUGGCGGCUCUCAGGGGGCACCAGCAGGGUGUCCUAUAAUUUAACCCAGUUCUGACACCAACUACCUGCAGUUAGCGUCAGAUUUUCACAGGGUGAGGGUUCAGUCCCACAAGACUGCUCCCGCUUCUGAUGCCAAUCACAGGCCCCAGGUGGUGACCUGUGCUUCUGACCAAUCAGCUCUAAGUCAGGGUCCCCACGACCUCUUCCUCGUGUUCAAUUCAUUGGCUAAGACUGCUCACAGAAUUCGGGGAGACACUUACAGUUAUAGUUUAUUGUGAAGAAGAUUACAAAGGAC
ensembl:lncRNA